rnacentral:rRNA from 1 species
GUGCCAGCAGCCGCGGUAAUACAGAGGUCUCGAGCGUUAGUCGGAGUCACUGGGCUUAAAGCGUACGUAGGCGGAUAUGCAGGCGUCGUGUGAAAUCCCUUGGCUCAACCAAGGAACUGCACGGCGAACCGCAUGUCUUGAGAUCGGUAGGGGCGGUCGGAACGAUAGGUGGAGUGGUGAAAUGCGUUGAUAUCUAUCGGAACGCCGAAGGUGAAAGCAGGCCGCUGGGCCGAUUCUGACGCUGAGGUACGAAAGCGUGGGGAGCGAACGGGAUUAGAUACCCGCGUAGUCC